UGCAAAGUGAACAGUGUCAGAGGGUAAGC
rnacentral:piRNA from 1 species